AGUUCCCGCUUCUGCAGCCGUAGGACCACGCGUGUUUGCAGAGGUGCCUCUUGUCAGAAAAAAAUCCGGAUUCUGUUGCACGGAAAGCAGACAUGGCCAAGACUAGGAUUGCAGUUGUUGGUGCUGGGUUGAUAGGUCUCUCCACUGCUGUGUGCAUUGCUGAAUCUAUUUCAAACUGCAGUGUGACUGUAGUUGCUGACAAAUUUACUCCCAACACAACAAGUGAUGUAGCAGCUGGGAUGCUUAUUCCACAUGCUCAUCCAGGCACACCAGUUCAUCAACAGAAGCAGUGGUUUAGAGAGACCUUUGAUCACCUGUCAGUAAUCUGUAAUUCCUCAGAGGCUUCAGAGGCUGGGAUUCAUUUGGUAUCUGGCUGGCAGAUUUUUAAAACCAUUCCUGAUGAGAAAACACCAUUCUGGUCCGAUGUGGUUCUAGGGUUUCGGUCAAUGACUGAAAAAGAACUGAAGAAAUUUCCACAGCACAAAUUUGGUCAGGCCUUUACAACACUGAAGUGUGACUGCCCACCUUAUUUGAUCUGGCUGGAAAAAAGGCUGAAAGAAAAUGGGAGCCAGGUGCAAGUCAGACACAUAGAAGAUCUCUGGGAACUGCACAGUGACUAUGACAUUGUAGUGAACUGCUCCGGCAUUGGCUCACGGAAGCUUGUAGGUGACCUAGAAAUAUACCCCAUCAGAGGUCAAGUUCUCAAGGUCCGUGCCCCUUGGGUCACGCACUUCAUUCGUGAUGGGGAUGGACUGACAUACAUCUAUCCAGGAGUGCAUAAUGUAACAUUAGGUGGAACAAGGCAGAAAGACAACUGGAAGCUGUCUCCAGAUCCCCAUACCAGUAAAAAUAUAUUUGGUCGAUGUUGUGCUCUUGAGCCGUCACUUCAGAAAGCGCAGGAUAUUAAGGUGAAGGUGGGCCUGAGGCCGACCAGGUCAACUGUGAGGCUGCAGAAAGAGAUACUGGUCCGAGGCAGUGAGAAGCUACAGGUGGUCCACAAUUAUGGGCAUGGUGGCGGUGGCUUCUCAGUGCAUCAGGGUACAGCCAGAGAGGCAACCCACCUGGUUAAGCAGUGCAUUGCAGCACUGGACCCAUCCAAGAAUAAGGCAAAGCUGUAACUCCUGUGUUGGAAACUCUUGCUCCCCCUCUCUCCUUCCCUCUCAUUUUUAAUCAUUAGUAAUACAGUUGGAUCAGAGUGCUCAUUUUGGAAUAAAAUCAGAAACAGGAGUGGAGAAUCUUUGCCCAGAAUCCCUCCAGAGGAAGAAACUGAGGAUGUAUCUUCUUCUGUACCCAGAGACUCAUGGGGAUGCCGCCUCCAGUUGUUUUGGACUAAAACUCCUAGUAAUCCUGAUCAUUGACUAUGCUGGUUGGACCUAUUUUUCAGACACAUUAUGACAAGAAACCCUGAAAGGUUACCACAGCUCAUGUUUGGCUACAGGGGCAGACUGCUGCCUGCCCCUGUGCUUCACCUGUGGGAGUAGCGGCCUUCCCCGUCCUCCCUUCUCCAGAGGUGUGCCCGACCAGCUACUUCUGCCGGACAAAGACCAAGACAGUGUGUGGAAGAGGGGUCCUAUUGCCAUGAGCCAGUACUGAAGACGGCGAUGCUUCUAUUAGUACAUAGUUUUCAUAAGCGUAUUUUACUUCUUAUUGGUAUAUACUUGUGCUGUUUGUGUGGAGUCUGCCUGCUUUAAGACCCGAGAAGGUACAUAUAAGACUGUGGCUGUGGAGAGCUUUCAGGGCCCCCAGGCCUUGGUGGGAGCGAUGUGCAUUGGGGUGCUGUUUGAGCAGGAAUUGCCCACCUAGGGGCAAGAGCUCAAGCUGGGUGGUUCCCACCUUUUAUAUGGAUACUGAUCCUUUUGAACAGACAGACUGUAUGUGGAGCUGUUAAUCUUUUAGUAUAUACCAUUUUAGAUUUUUGUGUGUAAUUUUACUGCUUGUUUUAACAAUUCUUGUGAUCUUUUAGUUAUGGUCCAGGAAAUAUGUUUAGGGGGGCAGCUAGUCAGGUUCUGUGGGGCAAUGGGCGAUAUGGUGCUGGCAGGGCAAAAUGCUCUUGCAGGAGAAGGAAAGAGUGUUGUCUUAAAACAAUCUCUCCUUCUGGUUGUCUUGCCAAACGGAUAAAUUGGAGAGCACUCUGAGCCACCCACCAUCCGUUUUACUGCUUCUUUGUAAUGUCAGGUCAACCCAUAAUAGAACUAUGAUCAUUCAUGAUCUGGUUAGACAUGAGGGGGUUUGCCCUGGCCUGUCUCACAGAGACCAGACUGGGAGAAGACAGAGGUCCCAUAUGGGCACAGACCCUCCCAACUGGCUAUUGUGUUGUGGAGCAGGAAAGGUAAAGCAGGCAAGGGGGCAGUGUGGCUGUGAUCCAUAAGGAUACCACCUCUUUGACCAAGUACCCUGUUAAGGAGCUGAAAUACAUCAAGUGUGUGUACUCAAGGUUGGGGUCCAGAGAUAGUCUGGGGAUUCUGCUGGCAUAUAGACCACCUCGUUGCCUAACACUGUCUCUGGCCAAACUCACAGAACUGGCCUCAGAACUGGUGUUGGAGUCCCCCAAAUUGUUAAUCCAGGGGGAUUUCAGUGCUGAUUGUGAGUUCAGUUUGUCUGGUGCUGCCCAUGAAUUCACAUCGGCUAUAGCAGCCAUGGGCCUGUCCCAGUUGGUCUCUAGACCCACACAAACCCCGGGGCACAAACUCAAUGCUACAUGCAGC